rnacentral:rRNA from 1 species
UACGUAGGUGGCAAGCGUUGUCCGGAUUUACUGGGCGUAAAGAGCGCGCAGGCGGUCGUAUAAGUCGAAUGUGAAAGCCCCCGGCUCAACUGGGGAGGGUCAUUCGAUACUGUUCGACUCGAAGGCAGGAGAGGGAAGUGGAAUUCCGGGUGUAGUGGUGAAAUGCGUAGAUAUCCGGAGGAACACCAGUGGCGAAGGCGGAUCUCUGGGCCUUACCUGACGCUGAGGCGCGAAAGCUAGGGGAGCAAACAGG